AACUGAUACUACCUGCGGGAACCUGCGGAGGGAUCAUUAAAGAGAUUUGUUUUUUGAACGAAUUCUCCACCCGAUGAUAUUUGUGAUUAAGAGCUUCGGUAGGACGAUGGGAAACCACGAUUGGGGAAACCUGAUUUGAGCUUACCGAUAGUUUUAACUCAAUAAAAUUUGAAGUCUGAGAAAAGAUUUAAUAAAUCAAAACUUUUAACAAUGGAUCUCU
rnacentral:misc_RNA from 1 species